UUUUUGCUGUUUUUAGAAUUUCCUCUAGUGGGCAGUGUUAUUUAAAGCAGCGAUUGAGAAAAUGGCAGACUUGAUCUGUGUUCAGCUCUCUGUUAUUUGGGUCUGAUAUAAUUUAUUGGCGUUGGAAACGUCAGCCAGCCACCCUUCAUUGGUACAUACUUCUUGCAGACCAUCAUUUCUUUCUUUUUAUUACCAUCAUUUUCUUUAACCAAAUAUGAAACUCUCGAAGAUGGCUAUGGAAAGUUUCAGGGUUUUCUUCUUUGUUCUACUCUUCGCUGCCUCUCCUCUUCUCCAAGUUGCUAGGUGUCAAUCAGAAGCAGACGUAGAUGUUGCUGAAGCUGUUGAAGGAGGUGAGCUUGGGAUUGUUGGCGAGGAUGUUCAGGAUUUUGGUGAUGGGAAUUUUGGCCCAGCGCCGGGAGUUGAAACUGUAUUCAUUUUCCCCAAAAAUAGUGCGAAAUUGGUUGUGGCUGGAGAAGAGACUGAACUUUUAGUUGGGAUGGAAAAUUUCAUUUGCUAGAUUUCAAUGCUUACCAGUUUUGCAUUAGCCAUGCCAGUCCUCUCUUAUGCUUAGGGGUCACCUUUAAAUAUCAUUGCAAUCCAAGCAAGUGUUCAUCUCCCUUUCGAUCAUCGAAUGCUUGUACAAAAUCUUACAGCGCAGACCUUCAACAAAGCAUCUGUGUCCCCUUCAGUGCAAGCUACUUUCCCUUACAUGUUUGCUGUUAGCAGGUACUUACAGCCCGGAACUUUUGAUCUUGUGGGUACGAUCGUCUAUGAAAUUCACCAGAAACCAUACCAAAAUACAUUCUACAAUGGUACCGUUGAAGUUGUUGAGGCUGGUGGUUUCCCAAGUGUUGAGUCUGUUUUUCUUGUUACCCUUGGGAUUGCACUUCUUGUUCUCCUCGCCUUAUGGCUUCAUGGUCAACUUCAGCUUACUACAAAGAAAACUAAGAAUGCUCCAAAGGUGGAAGUCGGAACUGGGACUACUGAUGCCUCAUUGGAUGAAUGGCUUCAGGGAACUGCUUACACUCAGUCAGCUUCCAAAUCAAAGAAAAAGAAGUAGAUGGGGCAGUGUUUCUGAAGUUAGGCUAUUGCAACACAUGCUAGGCAUUUGGAAAAUUUCAAAGUGAAGGCACAAGUAGUUUGAGAAUUAGGCCAGGAAAAGGCAUACCUUGCUGUUGUAGCAUGUGAAAUUAAGCCUUUUUGAAGCAAAAAGGUUGUGGUAGAUAAAAAUUCUUGCUCAUGGAUUCCGGGUUUUGCUUGAUUGGUCUAUACAAUUUCUCUCUCAAAAGAUUCCAAAGUCUAAUGGUUGUUGGUCGAUGUUUCUUGGACGGGAACGAUAGUCAAUCCGUUAAGAUCAUCAGUUUUUGGUUUGAUUUGUUCGUUCAGUUCAAAGUAAACAAAUUUAUUACAAAUUUUAAAAAUAUAUAAAAUCUAGUUUAAUCGCUUUGUACUAAUUCGUGGGUCAAGUUUUUGUUAGAUCAGUCCAAACAACAUUGUUGUUUGUAGUAUCAUCCUUUAUUUUUAAACAUGAUGGAGCAUAAAGGUUGGGACUUUAAAUUUUGUUGAAGGCUAAUCGUAUUUUUAAUGAUGAAUGAUCUCGUCGUAUUAUUCUUACAA